CGGAGGUUCGUCGUGUUGUUCGUC
rnacentral:siRNA from 1 species